UGAGUUAUUUUUUUUUAUUAUAGUUCAUGCGAUAUCGUUUAUGCUACAACUCGAUUGUGCGAACUUCACUCUAGAUACUUUACCUCUUUCUAGCGCUUGUAAAAAGAAAGGGCAAACACACAUGUCAUUUUGGCGUCUUGAUUUUCGUAUAUUAUAUGUCAAUGACUCUAACCAAAAUAUAUAUAUGUCAAUCAAUGUCAAUGACUCUAACAAAAACAAACUGAAAUUUGGUUUACAAGCUUUUAUUUAUAAAAAUUAUAAAAUUAAGAAUGAUCCUCACAAGUGCAUCGCAAUUCGAAGUACCUAAUUGUAGAUUUUAUGGAAAGGAAUGGGGACCUAAACAAGCCUGCCGAUGGACCCCACGGCAGGUUAACUGCCAUAAAUAAAUGUCCGUACAUGGUGUAGAAUCUCCUACGACCUAUUCUGCACAUGUGGGGAGCCCAAGACGCUCUGUCGUUGGACGAAGCCCAAGAUGCCCUGUCGUCGGAAGAAGCCCAAUACUUGUUGCCCCACUGAGACCAAGGCAGAGUCCUAGGACAACCCGUCGACGCGUGAUUCGUCCGAGGCAGUCAACGCCGCGACGCUAUCGUCCUCUCGUGGGGAUUUAGGCCAUUUAUGUAAUGGAUAACUAUAUAAGUAAUAAAUGAUUAUUUUUAAACAUUUAUUUUUCAUUUCUAAGGGUGCUUACGUAAAGAAUCGGGUUCCCUGUAUCUACCCGUACCGGUAACUUGAUUAGGUAUCGCUCACUGAGAAAUUUAAAACCGUGAAAUGCUCUAGCGCACUCGCUGAAAGAUAAACAGCAGGUUACCGGUACGGGUAGAUACAGGUAACCAGUAUCUCUAUGUAAGCACCCUAAUGGUGAUAUACAUUGGUUCAGUGCACGGACGCAGUAAGGCAGAUUUCACGACACAGUCGCAUUGGACUUGGUUGAAAAUAGCGUCCAAGCGGGAUCAGUACCAACAUAGUACUCUACUGGGUCCAGUCACUGAACCAAUAUAAACUAUCUCUAAUAACAAGCACUAUUCCUGCCAUCAUUACUCCGCAUUCUUAAGUUUGUGUUAGUUCCUAGUGGUUAAUAGGGUUUCCUCUGCCUCUGCAGCCAUUCGCCACGCAAAAUAUGAUCGCUGAUAGUCACAAAUUAAAUUCUAACUAGAUCCUAACCAACAACAAAAACGCUUCUCACCUACAAAUUUUCAGUGAGAGCAACAACUAUGAAAGUUUUCGAAUUCGUUGAAGCUGACUACCUAAGAUCUGUCAAACAUGUAACUCGUACUACCAAAAAGCUAUAAUUUACACGUAAACUUAUUUCGUUUUUUAAAACUACGAUUUGAAAUAACUCAUACUACCAAUUUUAGUUUAUGAUAGUUUCCGCUAGAGGCGCUGCUUGUAAAUGUAUGGAAGAAAACUGAAACUAUAAACGUUGUGUCAACUAUCAACAACCUAUACUAGACGUACAGAGCGUCUAGUACGGGCUUGCAAUAUAUGUCAACGUUGAUAGAAAUCGUAAGCACGCCAAACUAUUAGUUUCCAAGUUAAUUGGUAGUAUGAGUUACAUUUUUUUAUUAUAGUUCAUGCGAUAUCGUUUAUGCUACAACUCGAUUGUGCGAACUUCACUCUAGAUACUUUACCUCUUUCUAGCGCUUGUAAAAAGAAAGGGCAAACACACAUGUCAUUUUGGCGUCUUGAUUUUCGUAUAUUAUAUGUCAAUGACUCUAACCAAAAUAUAUAUGUCAAUCAAUGUCAAUGACUCUAACAAAAACAAACUGAAAUUUGGUUUACAAGCUUUUAUUUAUAAAAAUUAUAGAAUUAAGAAUGAUCCUCACAAGUGCAUCGCAAUUCGAAGUACCUAAUUGUAGAUUUUAUGGAAAGGAAUGGGGACCUAAACAAGCCUGCCGAUGGACCCCACGGCAGGUUAACUGCCAUAAAUAAAUGUCCGUACAUGGUGUAGAAUCUCCUACGACCUAUUCUGCACAUGUGGGGAGCCCAAGACGCUCUGUCGUUGGACGAAGCCCAAGAUGCCCUGUCGUCGGAAGAAGCCCAAUACUUGUUGCCCCACUGAGACCAAGGCAGAGUCCUAGGACAACCCGUCGACGCGUAAUUCGUCCGAGGCAGUCAACGCCGCGACGCUAUCGUCCUCUCGUGGGGAUUUAGGCCAUUUACGUAAUGGAUAACUAUAUAAGUAAUAAAUGAUUAUUUUUAAA